AGAGUUUGAUUCUGGCUCAGGAUGAACGCUAGCUACAGGCUUAGCACAUGCAAGUCGAGGGGCAGCAUUGGAGUAGCAAUACUCAGAUGGCGACCGGCGCACGGGUGAGUAACACGUAUCCAACCUGCCGCUUACUCGGGGAUAGCCUUUCGAAAGAAAGAUUAAUACCCGAUGGUAUAAAGAGUUCGCAUGUUCUCUUUAUUAAAGAAUUUCGGUAAGCGAUGGGGAUGCGUUCCAUUAGAUUGUUGGCGGGUAACGGCCCACCAAGUCUACGAUGGAUAGGGGUUCUGAGAGGAAGGUCCCCCACAUUGGAACUGAGACACGGUCCAAACUCCUACGGGAGGCAGCAGUGAGGAAUAUUGGUCAAUGGACGAGAGUCUGAACCAGCCCAAGUAGCGUGAGGGAUGACUGCCCUAUGGGUUGUAAACUUCUUUUAUAAGGGAAUAAAGUGAGGGACGUGUCCCUUUUUGUAUGUACCUUAUGAAUAAGGAUCGGCUAACUCCGUGCCAGCCGCCGC
rnacentral:rRNA from 1 species